GACGAACGCUGGCGGCGUGCCUAAUACAUGCAAGUAGAACGCUGAAGGAGGAGCUUGCUUCUCUGGAUGAGUUGCGAACGGGUGAGUAACGCGUAGGUAACCUGCCUGGUAGCGGGGGAUAACUAUUGGAAACGAUAGCUAAUACCGCAUAAGAGUAGAUGUUGCAUGACAUUUGCUUAAAAGGUGCAAUUUCAUCACUACCAGAUGGACCUGCGUUGUAUUAGCUAGUUGGUGAGGUAACGGCUCACCAAGGCGACGAUACAUAGCCGACCUGAGAGGGUGAUCGGCCACAAUGGGACUGAGACAAGGCCCAGACUCCUACGGGAGGCAGCAGUAGGGAAUCUUCGGCAAUGGACGGAAGUCUGACCGGGCAACGCCGCGGGAGUGAAGAAGGUUUUCGGAUCGUAAAGCCCUGUUGUAAGAGAAGAACGAGUGUGAGAGUGGAAAGUGCACACUGUGACGGUAUCUUACCAGAAAGGGACGGCUAACUACGUG
rnacentral:rRNA from 1 species